rnacentral:rRNA from 1 species
GGCUUAACACAUGCAAGUCGAGGGGCAGCGAGAUUGUUAGCAAUAACGAUUGUCGGCGACCGGCGCAAGGGUGCGUAACGCGUGAGCAACUUGCCCGUUUCUGGGGAAUAACCGGUGGAAACGCCGACUAAUACCCCAUGGCAUCAUGAUGAGGCAUCUCAUCAUGAUUAAAGAAAUUCGGAAACGGAUAGGCUCGCGUGACAUUAGCUAGAUGGCGGGGUAACGGCCCACCAUGGCGACGAUGUCUAGGGGUUCUGAGAGGAAGGUCCCCCACACUGGAACUGAGACACGGUCCAGACUCCUACGGGAGGCAGCAGUGAGGAAUAUUGGUCAAUGGUCGGAAGACUGAACCAGCCAUGCCGCGUGAAGGUGACGGCCCUAUGGGUCUUAAACUUCUUUUGUAAGGGAGCAAUAAGGAUCACGUGUGGUCUGAUGAGAGUACCUUACGAAUAAGCAUCGGCUAACUCCGUG